rnacentral:rRNA from 1 species
AAGACGCUGGCGGUAGGCCUAACACAUGCAAUUCGAACGGCAGCACAGGAGAGCUUGCUCUCUGGGUGGCGAGUGGCGGACGGGUGAGGAAUACAUCGGAAUCUACUUUUUCGUGGGGGAUAACGUAGGGAAACUUACGCUAAUACCGCAUACGACCUACGGGUGAAAGCAGGGGACCUUCGGGCCUUGCGCGAUUGAAUGAGCCGAUGUCGGAUUAGCUAGUUGGCGGGGUAAAGGCCCACCAAGGCGACGAUCCGUAGCUGGUCUGAGAGGAUGAUCAGCCACACUGGAACUGAGACACGGUCCAGACUCCUACGGGAGGCAGCAGUGGGGAAUAUUGGACAAUGGGCGCAAGCCUGAUCCAGCCAUACCGCGUGGGUGAAGAAGGCCUUCGGGUUGUAAAGCCCUUUUGUUGGGAAAGAAAUCCAGCUGGCUAAUACCCGGUUGGGAUGACGGUACCCAAAGAAUAAGCACCGGCUAACUUCGUGCCAGCAGCCGCGGUAAUACGAAGGGUGCAAGCGUUACUCGGAAUUACUGGGCGUAAAGCGUGCGUAGGUGGUCGUUUAAGUCCGUUGUGAAAGCCCUGGGCUCAACCUGGGAACUGCAGUGGAUACUGGGCGACUAGAGUGUGGUAGAGGGUAGCGGAAUUCCUGGUGUAGCAGUGAAAUGCGUAGAGAUCAGGGAGGAACAU